UUCACGGCCCCGGGGCCCCGACGUGUGGCGGCCCCUCUCUAUCCCAGCCCGCCGCGUUCGCCGAAUGCUCCUGAGCCUGUCUCUGGGCGGGUUCGCUGCCAAGCACGGACGCCCCCUCCUCCUGCACACAGGGUGCUGUGCACAGUAGGGCGGAGCGGGCAGCCUGGUCGCGGGAGGACGUGGCGCCUGUCAGAGGCGUGUGUCCACGCUUCUGGAGAUGGGGACGCAGGAAGGUGACAGUCUCCCAGUGUCACUCGACAGGGUGGUCUGCCACGGGGGAUUCCUGUUGUGCGCCAGGACGACCAGUGGUUGGGCACCGGCUGGGGCCCUCUCACUUCCUGGGGAGGCGGAGCCUCCCAGCUUCUGGGUGUUGCUGCACAGGCCUUCCCGCGGCGUGGGGCACGGACACCCACCCCGAAGACUGCUGGGCUCCACCACACUGCCCUGGUUGGUCUUCCUGCAGGUCCAGGGGCUGCCUGUAGUUUAGUCACCUAGCUGAGCACUGAGCGCUGAGCGAAACAGCAGUCUUGGAAGCCCACGGUCUCCAAUAGAGUCGCUUGCCCGGUGUGGAAGCCCUUUGCGUUUCCGUUCCUCUCCUCUGUCCCUAUUGCUACUUGGUCAUCUGCCUUUUUGCUUGUUGGUUGGCUCCAGGUCUCUACCUGGUAACACAGGAGCCCUCGAUCACAUCUUGAAGCUCGCUUUCGCCACUCUGUCAAGUCUUUCACACACUGGUUUGAGAAGUUGUUGGGGGUCAAGUAGAAAAUUUUAGUCUUCGUAUCAUUGCAAUUCCCAGGCUUUUCCUAAUGGUUUCUGGGGUUUCUUUGCCUUGGGCUAACUGGGCAAGCUCCCCCAGUUAAAACCCUGUGCAUCUGGCUUUUAUGUCCCAGGUCAGGGGGCCCCCUGGAGUUUGGCUCUGGCUCAGGUCUCUUGGGUGUGGGUCUUGGUGGUGGUGGUGGUGGUGGUGGCAUGGAGGUGCUGUCAGCUGGGGUUAGCAGGGGGCCUUUAAUGCCUCCCUGCAGGGCCUCUCCCUAGGGCUGCUCAGGCCAGAGCUUUCGCAGAGCCAGGGAUCAGAGAGAUGGGGAGGGAGAGGGCAGGAGGGAGCACCCCAAGGCCAAGCCACAGUCUUCUUAGGACCUCAUCCCCUGAUGCCCUUCACCCCUGCUGUCGUUUUUUAAUUGGUCUCAUAGGUCAAACCAGGAUCAGUGCAGGACAGGAGAAUGUAUGCAAGGAAAGAGGUUGUUCCCACCUGGCACUAUAAGGCACAAGGUGGCUGCUGGCGGGCACCUUGGCUCAGGGACUUGCAUGUGCCACUCCAGGUCCUAAGCAGGUCCAACUCUGGAAUGUGUCCCAGGUGUAAGCCCAGCCUCAGGACCCAGAUUGAGUGGCUUUCCCAUCUUUGAGUCAUCGCAAAUUAAAACACAGACAACCCCAACAAGGAAGGAGGAUGUGCCCUGGAGAGCCUGGUGUGUGUGACCCUCAGACCUUCUGUGUGUGCUCUCUGGCCCAUGCUCAUGGAGCUUGUGCCCGCCGAGCUGGGUAAAUCCUGUCCCUGCAGUUUGUCCUGAUGACAGGCUCAGGAGGUCCUUUCUUGUCACAGCAACUUGUUCAGCAUCCCAGGAAUCCCCUCCAAGCCUGGGGGGCUGGACACUCCCCGCCACCUGCAAUGUCCCACCCAGGGGCUGGCGAAGCUCUGCAUGAGGUAUGGGUGACUUUUCUGCAGCAGGCUGGGCCUCUCCUCUGCCUCCACCCCAGAAGGAACCAUGAAGGGCAGGUGCCCAGGAGUGGAGAGGUGUGUGCCUCGUCAUGGCGCAGGCACAAAAGUCCCUUUCCUAGGCGACUGCCUCACGUUGCCCAGGUCCUGGGCACUGGCAUCUCAGUUGGGGCAGUUGGCAGCCUGGGAGGUGGGGACGCUGAGGGAUGAGGUGAGACACAGGGAAGAAACUUCCCUCUGGCCUGAAGGAGGCCGUUGGUGCCUCAUCCUUCCUGGUCUGCACUCGGUGGAGACUUCUCCAUGGUGCUCCUGGUGGCUCUGAAUCUGUCAGUGAGCUUCCCUGGUGGUGAGUGCUUUUGCUGUGGGCUGUCACCGCUGGGCAGCACCCGGACCCUGGCAAACAGCUCCUGGCGCUUUCCCCAGCUGCCUUGCACAUCUGGACCUCAAGGUGGGCCCUUCUUGUGUGGAUGUGUUCUUUUUUUUUUUCUUUUCUUUUUAAUAAGUUUUUAAAUUUAUUUUUAUGUGGUGCUGAGGAUCAAACCCAGUGCCUCACAUGUGCUAGGCAGGCGCUCUACCACUAAGCUGUAACCCCAGCCUGCAGAUGUGUUCUUGGCAUAUGGGGACAGCCCCUCAGCCAAGAUGUCGGGCUAAGGGUCCUGGGGCUCCUCAGGAGGACACGCUCGGCUCUGUGCACACGCACACUCUGGGGUCGGCUCUGCACACGCACACUCUGGAGUCAACUCUGUGCACACCCACACUCUGGAGUCAUCUGUGUACUUGCUGUCCUGUCCAUCCCUCUAGCCUCUGAGAGAAUGGAGCCAGCUUUCCCAUCCUUUGCGGCUCUGCAGGGAGAAACGGGGAGAAGCUUUGAUUCCUCUGCCUGGGAUGAUCUCAGGGAGCCUGGUUGGAGCCACAUCUUCCCAACCCCAGCUGCCCUACACCCUUGCAGGGGGUGGGGGACGGGCUCUUAGCAGCCCGCUGUGCAGAGGGGAGAGCCAGACCCCGUCCUGAUGCGCACAGCUCACCCUGACUUAGCCUAAAGCUGCCGCCUCCUCACCCUACUGCCCUGCCCCCCUUAAGGAUCCUGGAGGAGCUUCCCUAGAGUAUCAUAGCCUGUGCUCCAGACCUGUGGGGUCACCAGCAGCUGUCCCCAUGGGCCCCCAACUCUAGAUUGAACCCAGGGACCUCUUGGGAGCAGCAUGCCUGCCCCCUUGGCACCUGUAUCCAGGGCCUCUGGAGCCAUCUUUAGUCAGGGGCCUCCACUCCUGUCCCUAGGGAGACCUAGUGCCCUGGUCACAGCUGGAGAAUGGGCCCUGGGACUCUCUCUUCUGGGCUGGCUCCCUUCUGCUCCUGGCAUCUGUUUGCCAGCAGGCCCAGACAAGGGGUGUGCUGGGGCUGGGCCACCACCUCUUGGGCUCUGUGCCCAAGGUGGCUGGGCCUUUGAGCCCUGCCUGCCUCCUCCUAGCAUGCCCAGUGGGUCCUCCUGGAUUUCCUCGGUGUGGCUGGCUCACAAUCAGGAUGGGGCCUGCACACGGGGGUUCCCAUCUACCUGCCCUCCCCUGGGAGGCCCCUGGCCAGGACGGGUCUCCAGUCUGUGUCCCUCCUGCCUCCUUGCCCUGGUGGCCUCUUCUAGCUCACUGCCUGGACUGGCCUGUCUCCUGUCACCAGGGGCAUAUUCCACCCCCUUGGCCCCUGCCACCUAGUUUGGCAUUUUCUUCUUUUCCCCUGUGUCUUUUAGCCCUGUGUCUUUACCCUCCAGAAGUGAUGUGGAGGGGAGAUUGGGGAGUUCUGGUUUAGCCCUGCUCAGCUUGGCAUGUUCCUUGGCUCAGGCCCUGAGAGGAUGCAAAGCAGGGUUGUCUCCUUGAGGUGGGGUCAGUGCCGGUGCUGGGAGGAGGUAAUAGGUUUGGUGUGGCUCCAUGGUGUAGUGUCCUGGGGACACCAGGGCUGGAGGGGGAAGGACAUUCCUGAGGAGGACCUCUCAUCCCCUAGGUGGCAAUGGAUCUCUCUGUACGUGGUUCUGCUGGUCCCUGGCCUCUCCGUUUGGGCAGCUUCUAGAGGCUUCUGGAGUGUGGGAUACCUUCCCUACCCCACCCCUGCCAUUGAUCACAGUAGGAGUAGUAGCAGGGCUGGGCUGAGGUUCUGGUUUUAUCCAAUAGUUUCCUGCCAGCCUCUAGGGUGGUAUCUUCUUGGGACUGGUGAACUGGAGCCUAGUGAGCAGUCCCACCCCAGGUGGAAAUGAAUAAAAGAAUGAAGUGCUGUUGUCUUCCCUUUGUUCCCUUGGCACUGGGGAGUGUCUCAUUUUAUUGAGAGCCACAGGCUCUGACCCCUGGUACUCUCCUCAUGCAGGGGACACUGGUGUCAGCCUCGCCCAGCAAGCGUCUUCCUUGCUUGUUUCUGGCUCUGUUGUUUCUUGUAGUUAGGCAAACCUUGGACAUCUUUGCCUUUCCUGUUGCAUCCCCUGUUCUUGUCCAUGUGUCUGGGGUAGAGGUUCCUCCUUAGGAGUACAAUUUUGGUCUUGUCCUGCUUCGGUGCUCCCCCAGGUAUCCUUCCCCAUCCUCCUGUUCCAGUCACCGUCUCCCCCAUCAACUAUUAAGACUCUUUCCUGGCCCAGCAGGUGCUAGCAUGAAGGUAAGAUAUCUCUCUGGGCAAGCAGCACUGCCAUAGGUUGCACCCACAUGCUAGCAAAUGGUAAGAGUUUAGACUGGACAGCAGCUAGCACAGCCUCUCACUGAGGCCAUGGAUAGGUGCUGUCCCCUUCUGUGUCCCAACAUCUGCUGGAUCCCUAUGGAAGUGGAGAGCAGUGGAAUGAGUGAAGACACUGAAAUUUUCAGGAGCCCUGCAGGGAAAUUGCAAGAUCUUUGGGAACUUUUGGGAUGUGCCUGGAGUAGCCCCUCAGAGAUCUUAGGGGAGGUGCCCCAGAACUAUCCAGAGUUUUAGGUGGAGUCCCCUAGUUCCCUCAGCUCACAGAGCCUUCAUAAGCAUUGGGGUUGAGGUCCCCAGAGCACUUGGAUGAUGUCUGGAGCACUCAGGUAACCCUUUGGGGGUUCCACCCUUUUGCCGAGGAUUGGGUGCAAUUACAGAGUUUGGGACCCCAGAGCCCUGAAGAGCCCUGGGCAAUGGAAGCCAAGCCCAAAUGGGAGACCUCAGAAGUCCAAUGAAGCUCAGGAACUCAAUGACUGGCAUUGAGUCCUGGGGAAGGCCCAGAGCCCUAGGGAGCCCUCUAGUUUCUCAGGUCCUUGGCACUACACGGAUGGAACUGGCAGCCCUUGUAGAAUGAAUGAAUGAAGUGGGGGAGAUAACACAUGAGUGGUCACCGUUUACUUUCUUCCCUCUCUUCUGACAUGCCAGACACCAUAGUGAUCAAUUAUACCCAGCCUCCUACUCUGUCCUCCUCACCUGCAACAGAUUCAGUACUCAAGACCUAGUGGGCCAUUUUGUCCCCAAAGUCUCCAUAUCUCUUCCCCUAUUCUUGGGAUUUUCCAGGCCCAGCUCCUGUUACUCUUGUGCUGUUCCUUCUCUCCACAACAGCUAACUCUUCAAAGGUUUGGGGAUGUCAACCUUGCCACUACCCCAGGUUCCACAUAGGUUCCCAUUGGUCUCACCUGCUUCUACCCAAUCCCCAGCAGGGCUCCAGUCCAACACAACAAUCCUGAGCAGUGAGUCACUUCUUCCUCUCAAUGUGCUUGAAUAUGUGUGUGUGUGUGUGUGUGUAUUUAUUUAUUUAUUUUAGUACCAGGGAUUGAACUUGGGAGUACUCAACCACUGAGCCACAUUCCUAGCCCUAUUUUGUAUUUUAGAGACAGGGUCUCACUUGAGUUGCUUAGUGCUUCACUGUUGCUGGCUUUGAACUUGUGAUUCUCCUGUGUUGGCCUCCCAAGCCACUCGGAUUAUAGGUGUGUGCCACUAUGCCUGGCUCCUUUACAUUUUAAAUGUACAAGAACCAUGUAUUACUUUUGGGAUCACAACAUUGUGGGAGUCUAUGAUGCAGCAAUGAGAAAUGGUCAGGAACCACUGUGAGGGUUAUUUGCUCUGCUAAACUCAUCAUGUGGCCAUAGCCAUGAGCCCUUGCAUGUGCAGGCUCUGCAUGGUUACUAUGCCCGGUUGAGUCCCACCACUUGCAGCAAAGGAGCAGAUCACUGAAGCAUGGGCCCCAUCCCUGGCUGGGCCUCUUCUUUCCUGCCCUCUGCUAGCAGUGUGAAGCCAGACAUGCAAGGCAUAACAUGGAUAUUGCAUUCUAUCCUGAGUUUUUAACAACUUUUUUUUUUUUUUGGUACCAGGGAUUGAACCUGGGGGCAUUUAGCCACUGAGCCACAUCCCCAGCCCUUUUUUAUAAUUUAUUUAGAGAUGGUCUCACUGAAUUGCUGAGGCUGGCUUUGAACUCAUGAUCCUUCUACCUCAGCCUCUGGAGCCACUAGGAUUACAGACGUGUGCCACCACCCCUGGUUUAUCACCUUUCAAAAAUACAUGUAAGCUGGACAUGGUUGCACAUGCCUGUAAUACCAGCAGUUCAGGAGGCUGAGGCAGGAGGAUCACAAGUUCAAAGCCAGCCUCAGUAACUUAGUGAGACCUUGAAUCAAAAAAUAAAGAGCUGGGGAUGUGGCUCAGUGCUUAAGUGCUCCUGAGUUCAAUCCCUGGUACCAAAGUAAAUAAAAAUACAAGUAAAUGUUGAUAUUAUAAAAUAUACAGUAAGGACAAAAAACCUGGGAACUAAGUAGGAAUACAGACAGGUGAAGAAUUUGAUUAUCCACAGAUGACGGAACACUGCAGUCUUUGGAGCUUCCCCACCUUGUCAUUAAAGCAGCAACAAUCUCAGAAGCUGAGGAAUGACCCACAACCGACCUUUCCAUCCCUGGGCCCUCAGAUGCUGAGGUUGUCUGGUGUCAGCUUUUCCUGUUGAAAACACCUGUGGACAAUGUUAUACAUGCAGUUUUACCCACAUUUCAAGUGGGUUCUCAUGUAGUUCGUUGGAUGAUUGUCACUUUUAUAGGUAGUUACAAGUGAUUUGGGUAAUGAGGGAAUAAAACCCACAAAACACAAACGUACAUAUCUAUGGGUAGCAUUUGAUCACUUCCCCAAAACAAAAAUGCAGAACCAAACAGGCAAAGCCAGAUAGUAAUCCUUCAAACCCAAGUUCUAGAGCCCUUAUGUCAUGGGAGCCCAACUUCUCCCUCAGUAGGAAAAACCAACAAGUUAAAAAUAAACAAGUCUUUUUAUUAUGUAUCCACUGAAAACAAAGUCAGGGAAGCCUUUGGAUAAUCUCCCCGACAAGGUGACAAUGAACAGGAGGCAUGCAUGACAACAAUUUUAUUCUCCUCUGGAGGAAUGAGCUCUUGCUCUCCUGGGCCCUAAGGAUUAGAGGCAAGCAGGGCCAGAAGGCUCCAGAGGAAGGCACACCCAGGCCUAAUCAGCUGUGGAGGGCCCAAGUCUGCUGCCUCCCUGGCAGGAUGAGGCAGGGGGUGGGGUGGGGGGAAACACUGCCCUGGGCUAGGCCCAACACCCCCAAGCUAGAACACACAGAAAAGCCCCACCCCCACCCCCAGCAAACACUGCUAA